rnacentral:rRNA from 1 species
CGGAUGGCAUGGGCGAAGCCUGAUCCGCCUGCCGCGUGUGUGAAGAAGGUCUUCGGAUUGUAAAGCACUUUAAGUUGGGAGGAAGGGCAGUAAGUUAAUACCUUGCUGUUUUGACGUUACCAACAGAAUAAGCACCGGCUAACUUCGUGCCAGCAGCCGCGGUAAUACGAAGGGUGCAAGCGUUAAUCGGAAUUACUGGGCGUAAAGCGCGCGUAGGUGGUUCAGCAAGUUGGAUGUGAAAUCCCCGGGCUCAACCUGGGAACUGCAUCCAAAACUACUGAGCUAGAGUACGGUAGAGGGUGGUGGAAUUUCCUGUGUAGCGGUGAAAUGCGUAGAUAUAGGAAGGAACACCAGUGGCGAAGGCGACCACCUGGACUGAUACUGACACUGAGGUGCGAAAGCGUGGGGAGCAAACAGGAUUAAAUACCCUGGUAGUCCACGCCGUAAACGAUGUCAACUAGCCGUUGGGAUCCUUGAGAUCUUAUUGGCGCAGCUAACGCGAUAAGUCGACCGCCUGGGGAGUACGGCCGCAAGGUUAAAACUCAAAUGAAUUGACGGCA